rnacentral:rRNA from 1 species
AGAGUUUGAUCCUGGCUCAGGAUGAACGCUAGCUACAGGCUUAACACAUGCAAGUCGGAGGGGAAACGAUAUUGGAAGCUUGCUUCCGAUAGGCGUCGACCGGCGCACGGGUGAGUAACGCGUAUCCAACCUGCCCACCACUUGGGAUAACCUUGCGAAAGUAAGACUAAUACCCAAUGAUAUCUCUAGAAGACAUCUGAAAGAGAUUAAAGAUUUAUCGGUGAUGGAUGGGGAUGCGUCUGAUUAGCUUGUUGGCGGGGUAACGGCCCACCAAGGCGACGAUCAGUAGGGGUUCUGAGAGGAAGGUCCCCCACAUUGGAACCUGAGACACGGUCCAAACUCCUACGGGAGGCAGCA